rnacentral:rRNA from 1 species
AGUGAACUGUGGUUAAGGAACUCGGCAAAUUGCCCCCGUAACUUCGGGAGAAGGGGGACCUCUGCUGGUGAUGGGCUUUACGUUCUGAGCUGGUGGGGGUCGCAGUGGCCAGGGGGAAGCGACUGUUUACUAAAAACACAGGUCCGUGCGAAGUCGUAAGACGAUGUAUACGGACUGACGCCUGCCCGGUGCCGGAACGUUAAGGGGACCGCUUAGCCAGCUUCGGUUGGCGAAGGUGAGAACUUAAGCGCCGGUAAACGGCGGUGGUAACUAUAACCAUCCUAAGGUAGCGAAAUUCCUUGUCGGGUAAGUUCCGACCUGCACGAAUGGCGUAACGACUUCCCCGCUGUCUCAACCACAGACCCGGCGAAAUUGCACUACGAGUAAAGAUGCUCGUUUCGCGCAGCAGGACGGAAAGACCCCGGGACCUUCACUACAGCUUGACAUUGGCGUUUGGAACGUCUUGUGUAGGAUAGGUGGGAGACUAGGAAGCUGUCACGCUAGUGAUGGUGGAGUCAUUGGUGAAAUACCACUCUGGUCGUUUUGAACGUCUAACUCUGGUCCGUGAUCCGGAUCGGGGACAGUGUCUGGUGGGUAGUUUAACUGGGGCGGUUGCCUCCUAAAGAGUAACGGAGGCGCCCAAAGGUUCCCUCAGCCUGGUUGGCAAUCAGGUGUUGAGUGUAAGUGCACAAGGGAGCUUGACUGUGAGACUGACAGGUCGAGCAGGAGCGAAAGCUGGGACUAGUGAUCCGGCAUCGGCGUGUGGAAGCGGUGUCGCUCAACGGCUAAAAGGUACCCCGGGGAUAACAGGCUGAUCUUCCCCAAGAGUCCAUAUCGACGGGAUGGUUUGGCACCUCGAUGUCGGCUCGUCGCAUCCUGGGGCUGGAGUAGUCCCAAGGGUUGGGCUGUUCGCCCAUUAAAGCGGUACGCGAGCUGGGUUUAGAACGUCGCGAGACAGUUCGGUCCCUAUCCGCUGCGCGCGCAGGAGACUUGAAGGGGGCUGUCCCUAGUACGAGAGGACCGGGACGGACGAACCUCUGGUGUGCCAGUUGUACCGCCAGGUGCACGGCUGGUUGGCUACGUUCGGAAGGGAUAACCGCUGAAAGCAUCUAAGCGGGAAGCUCGCCUUGAGAUGAGGUCUCCCACCCCGUGAGGGGGUAAGGCUCCCGGUAGAUCACCGGGUUGAUAGGCCGGAGGUGGAAGCACGGUAACGUGUGGAGCUGACCGGUACUAAUAGGCCGAGGACUUGAUC